GGCGAUGAAGGGCGUGCUAAUCUGCGAAAAGCGUCGGCAAGGUGAUAUGAACCGUUACACCCGACGAUACCCGAAUGGGGAAACCCAGUGUGUUUCGACACACUAUCAUGGCAUGAAUACAUAGUGUCAUGAGGCGAACCGGGGGAACUGAAACAUCUCAGUACCCCGAGGAAAAGAAAUCAACCGAGAUUCCCCCAGUAGCGGCGAGCGAACGGGGAGGAGCCCAGAACCUGAAUCGGCUUGUGUGUCAGUGGAAGCGUCUGGAAAGUCGCACGAUACAGGGUGAAAGUCCCGUACACGAAGAGGCACAGACCGUGAGUUCGAUGAGUAGGGCGGGACACGUGGUAUCCUGUCUGAACAUGGGGGGACCAUCCUCCAAGGCUAAAUACUCCUGACUGACCGAUAGUGAACCAGUACCGUGAGGGAAAGGCGAAAAGAACCCCGGCGAGGGGAGUGAAACAGAACCUGAAACCGUGUACGUACAAGCAGUGGGAGCCCUGAUUUAUCAGGGUGACUGCGUACCUUUUGUAUAAUGGGUCAGCGACUUAUAUUCUGUAGCAAGGUUAACCGAAUAGGGGAGCCGCAGGGAAACCGAGUCUUAACUGGGCGUUAAGUUGCAGGGUAUAGACCCGAAACCCGGUGAUCUAGCCAUGGGCAGGUUGAAGGUUGGGUAACACUAACUGGAGGACCGAACCGACUAAUGUUGAAAAAUUAGCGGAUGACUUGUGGCUGGGGGUGAAAGGCCAAUCAAACCGGGAGAUAGCUGGUUCUCCCCGAAAGCUAUUUAGGUAGCGCCUCGUGAAUUCAUCUUCGGGGGUAGAGCACUGUUUCGGCUAGGGGGCCAUCCCGGCUUACCAACCCGAUGCAAACUGCGAAUACCGAAGAAUGUUAUCACGGGAGACACACGGCGGGUGCUAACGUCCGUCGUGAAGAGGGAAACAACCCAGACCGCCAGCUAAGGUCCCAAAGUCAUGGUUAAGUGGGAAACGAUGUGGGAAGGCCCAGACAGCCAGGAUGUUGGCUUAGAAGCAGCCAUCAUUUAAAGAAAGCGUAAUAGCUCACUGGUCGAGUCGGCCUGCGCGGAAGAUGUAACGGGGCUAAAACCAUGCACCGAAGCUGCGGCAGCGANNGUUGGGUAGGGGAGCGUUCUGUAAGCCGUCGAAGGUGGCCUGUGAGGGCUGCUGGAGGUAUCAGAAGUGCGAAUGCUGACAUAAGUAACGAUAAUGCGGGUGAAAAACCCGCACGCCGGAAGACCAAGGGUUCCUGUCCAACGUUAAUCGGGGCAGGGUGAGUCGACCCCUAAGGCGAGGCUGAAAAGCGUAGUCGAUGGGAAACAGGUUAAUAUUCCUGUACUCGGUGUUACUGCGAAGGGGGGACGGAGACGGCUAUGUCAUCCGGGCGACGGUUGUCCCGGUUUAAGCGUGCAGGUGGGUGGACCAGGCAAAUCCGGUCUGCUAUCAACACUGAGGCGUGAUGACGAGGCACUACGGUGCUGAAGUGACAGAUGCCCUGCUUCCAGGAAAAGCCUCUAAGCAUCAGGUAACAGUGAAUCGUACCCCAAACCGACACAGGUGGUCAGGUAGAGAAUACUCAGGCGCUUGAGAGAACUCGGGUGAAGGAACUAGGCAAAAUGGUGCCGUAACUUCGGGAGAAGGCACGCUGGGCAUGGUGAAGUCCCCUGCGGACGGAGCUGGGCCCAGUCGCAGAUACCAGCUGGCUGCAACUGUUUAAUAAAAACACAGCACUGUGCAAACACGAAAGUGGACGUAUACGGUGUGACGCCUGCCCGGUGCCGGAAGGUUAAUUGAUGGGGUUAUCCGCAAGGAGAAGCUCUUGAUCGAAGCCCCGGUAAACGGCGGCCGUAACUAUAACGGUCCUAAGGUAGCGAAAUUCCUUGUCGGGUAAGUUCCGACCUGCACGAAUGGCGUAAUGAUGGCCAGGCUGUCUCCACCCGAGACUCAGUGAAAUUGAACUCGCUGUGAAGAUGCAGUGUACCCGCGGCAAGACGGAAAGACCCCGUGAACCUUUACUAUAGCUUGACACUGAACCUUGAACCUUGAUGUGUAGGAUAGGUGGGAGGCUGAGAAAUGUGGACGCCAGUCUGCAUGGAGCCGACCUUGAAAUACCACCCUUUAAUGUUUGAUGUUCUAACGUGGGCCCGUGAACCGGGUUGCGGACAGUGUCUGGUGGGUAGUUUGACUGGGGCGGUCUCCUCCCAAAGCGUAACGGAGGAGCACGAAGGUUAGCUAAUCCUGGUCGGACAUCAGGAGGUUAGUGCAAAGGCAUAAGCUAGCUUGACUGCGAGAGUGACGGCUCGAGCAGGUGCGAAAGCAGGUCUUAGUGAUCCGGUGGUUCUGAAUGGAAGGGCCAUCGCUCAACGGAUAAAAGGUACUCCGGGGAUAACAGGCUGAUACCGCCCAAGAGUUCAUAUCGACGGCGGUGUUUGGCACCUCGAUGUCGGCUCAUCACAUCCUGGGGCUGAAGUAGGUCCCAAGGGUAUGGCUGUUCGCCAUUUAAAGUGGUACGCGAGCUGGGUUUAGAACGUCGUGAGACAGUUCGGUCCCUAUCUGCCGUGGGCGUUGGAAGAUUGAGGGGGGUUGCUCCUAGUACGAGAGGACCGGAGUGAACGCACCGCUGGUGUUCGGGUUGUCAUGCCAAUGGCACUGCCCGGUAGCUACGUGCGGAAGAGAUAACCGCUGAAAGCAUCUAAGCGGGAAACUUGCCCCGAGAUGAGUCUUCCCUGGGUCCUUGA
rnacentral:rRNA from 1 species